AUGGGCAGGGCUGGCUUGUCCCCGGGCGUCAGAGCUCCUGGAACAUUCACUCUUGGAAAGAACACACUGCACAAAAAUAGCAGCCUGGUGCCGAUGAACAUAUGCUGCUUCCCGGGGGGCGGCAGGGAGGGGCCAAGGCCCCUGAUGGGCUCAGGGCUGGAGGUUUCGCCGCUCCCCGGGAGGGCGUCUGUGUCGCCAGCACUGACUGGAGAUGGCAGACGGGCUUAUGAGGCACCUACUGUGUGCCAUUUACCUCUGUCUGUGGCCUGUGGCUUCCUGAGGACCUGCGGGCAGGCCGUGCUGCUGUCCUUCCUCCAGUGGCAGCUCAGGCCUGGACCCGGAGACCCGUCUGCUGGAGGCGGGGAGGCUGGGGUGCCGACCCCCGAAGGAGCCAGCCCCACGCAGGAUGCUUCUCAGGCUUUGAUCAGCCAACUCCAUGCUGGCUGGGGAACUGAAGUGGAGCCCCCUUGAAAGGCGGAUGGGCCCCUUGCCCUUUCGGAAGCCAACACGUUUGAAGGGACCUGGAAUCUGAUUGUUCGCCGAUGGAGGCCAAGCUGCCGCACAUGUAAAUUUCCAAUUAAAACAGAAAUUAAUCCUCUCCCCCAACUACCUGCUAUCUCCAGCCGGAUGAGCAAAAGUUUUAUUCUGCUAAUUAAUGUUAUCACCCGUUAGCUUUAUUUACAUAAGCAGAUAUAAUUCACAUGGCUUUGCAGAAGCUGAUGGGGAAACUUAAAAAAAUUUUUUUUUAAGUUAAAAAAAUUAAUUACCUUGAUCCUCCCUCUUGUAUUCUAAUCACAGACUUGCAGCGUUCCUCUUUGGUGCUCCCCGAAACCCCUGGGUUGGCUCCUUCUUUGAUGAGUGGGAGCUUGUUCCAAAUGGAGAGAGAAGAAGUUGAAAAUUGAGCAGCUUGGAGGGGAAGCCAGUACCAGUCUUCAUAUGAAAGGCCCGAUGGAUGUGAUAAUUAUUUACGGUUUCUGGCUUUGGGUGUUUUUGUUACCCAGUUAAAUAGACUCCAAAUACCACAUUAAAAUCUUGCAAAGAUCCUGGCAGAUUAAUAAAUCACAGCAACUGCUCUGGCA
rnacentral:lncRNA from 1 species